CUAAAAGAGACCACAUGCAGCAAUUAAAAUAUCCCGCGUGCUGCAACUAAGACCCAGCAGCAGCCAAACAAAUAAAUAAAUAGAAAGAAAGAACUUCCAGUAACACUGAAGAGCACAAAAAAGAAAAUUUUCAAGUACUCUGGAAAGCCAGCACCCCCAGAAGCAUCGAUGGAGACAUCUGUCUAUGCACCUAUUCAGAGAAAAGGACAGGUAGAUUGAUGGAAAUUUUUACCAAAAAGUGUUCACACAGUACAUGCUCUUUUUGGAAAAAGUGUUUAACAGAAAGGAAAAAAAGAAGAAGAAGAAGAAGAAGCCUUAAGUGUAACUAAAGAAAUUCCCAAGCUGCAAAUAAUUAAAAGGAAAGAAAAAUAUCCAGAGGCUGAAUUCAUUCUUUAAAUAUGCUUCAACUGUAGAUGGCAUCUCUUGACAGCCUGCAGAUUUAGGACAAGGAAAUGAGCUCACCCACUUCCUAUCUCUUCCCCCCUCCCAAAUGUUGUGAGUUCUUAUUUUUACAUUGUCAAGGUUUGUAACUACCUGCAUCCUGUCCUGUAACCAUCCUUCCCACCAUUGUUUGGCCCCUGUUUUGUGCGUGUGUGGGUCCCCUGCUCACUGCCAGUCCUUUUAGAGUGGGUUUCCCAUCCCUCCAUUCUUGAGUUCUUUACUUUGAUUCACCUCAUGUUUGACUUGACUUGUCCCCAAGAAGUCUGUUCAGGGAGGGCUUUGGUGGUCACAGCCAAGAGGGGUGGCUGCUAGGAGCAAGGUUGGAGACCUCAAUUCUGAAAAGGGGGUUGGUGGGCUAUAAAAUUGGCUGAUUUAUGCCCAGUGAAACUGGCAUAAAUCCCCAAUGUAGAGACAAGCACUAAUACUUUCCAGUAUGACGCCUUGCUGAAAAGUCUUCAACUUGUAUUUGGCGGCACAUAGUUGAAGUCUUAGAAUUUGGAAAUAACGAAAAUGAUUAGGGUGGGGAACCCAGAGAGUAUUGUUUUCUUUUUUCUUUUUUUGGCCGCACCACGCAGCAUGUGGGAUCUUAGUUCCCCAACCAGGGAUCCAACCCAUGCCCCCUGCAUUGGGAGCACAGAGUCUUAACCACUGGACCACCGGGGAAGUCCCUUGUUUUCAAAGAAAGGACAUGCCAGAUUUCUGGCUCAGGAGGCCUCUAUGAACAGGCCACCACCACUACCCUAACAGCACCCGCCCCCAACACACACACACACACACACACACACACACACACACACACACACACACACACUUCAUCCCUUUGAUAGCAGUGCCCUAUCCCAUAUUCACCUGGAAAAACCCAACUUCUCCUUCAAGACCAAGGUCAAAUGACACCUCCUCUGUGAAGCCUUUUGUAUGUUCUGGAUUAUUGCUUGGCAAAUAUUUACUUCUCUGCCUUCCCACUUUGGCAGCGUUAUACCACCAGGCCCCUUUGCUCUUGGGCUCUGCUAUGUGACUUGCUUCGGCCAAAGAGAUAUUUGGAGACAAAACCUGGAGUACAGCCUUGGCAUGAGCUGGUGGCAGAGCCCGCCCACUCGUGUUUCUGCCAUUGCCAUAAGCACACCUUUCCCUGCAUGGGCCAGUGGUUCCAGGAGAAUGAGAGGCAGGGUAGACCUCCAUGUAAUCCAUGCCCAGGAGCCAGUCUAACCAGGCCCAGCUGAAAUUGUCAGGGCUGCCCCAGUCAGUGUGCAGACACAUGAGCCAGAAAUAAAUGCUUGUAACAGUAAGUUAUUGAAUUAUGGGGUCAUUUGUUAUGCAGCAUUGUUGUGACAAUAGUUGACCGAUACACGUUCUCUGUUCAUUUCCUCUUCUGUGCUUGAGAUGCAUGCACUUUGUGCCCACAGCUUUACUUAUUAACUGUAGGGCAGAUUUUGUAGAGCAGAGUCUGCCCUCCCUCUGGCUUGUGAACAGUUUGAAGAAAGGACUGCAUCUCAUUCAAUUCUGACUCCCCAGUGCCCAGCUAGAUGGCACCCAAUAUCAUUCUUUCCGUCAGCACUCUGUCCAGGAUAGCCAAGUCCAAGUGGAGAGCCCAGGCCUCUGCUUCCAGGACUCACCUGCAAGUAUGGACAAGAAGGUUCCAAAGCCCUAAUCUUCAGUACCCACCGCUAGGGGGAACACUCAGGGCAUAGCUGCCCUUACCUGGGAGCACCAGGGACCACAAUGGCUGCUUUCCUAGCCAGAUCUCAGAAACACAACAAAAAGAUUUCUUGAGAAGAACAAGCCCACAUUCUGAAAGGAGCCCUGAAUAGUUUUCGCCAUGCACAGAGGGCUCCUGUGGAGCCUCCACCCUCCUCUCUAAGGAGCUGGUGUGACUGACACUGACCAGUCUGGCCAGAGCACCUGCAGCCAAACUUGGAUCUUCUGGACGCACCAGCUUUCCUGAUUCAGGAGCCUCAGGACUAACCUCAGAUGAUGCUUAUUCUUCACCUGCUCAAAACCUGGCCUUAUCAGCCGGUAGCAGUGGGAGUUGCUGAAACAUGUCACUUCUGGCUCCAGGUUCUUUCUGAAGAAAGAACUCCCUGGACUUCCAUGGUUACACCAGCACACACCUCUAGCCACUGCAAACAGCGCUGUUGAAUCACUUCCCACCCGGGGGGCCUGAGAAACCAGCGCUCCCCACGGCAGGGCCUGGCAAAUGCCAGUUCUGCAGAAUGCUGAUAAGGGGGGCACAGAGCAGUGCUCCUGCAGGCCUGGGGUACUGGCUGCUUAAGCACAGUGAAAAACUGUCUUCACUGAAGGACUUCGCAAGGGGCCCUCAGGUGCCAACCCACCUCCGAGAGUUUGACUAAGUCAGCAUUGCUCAAAUGUGUUCGAUCCCUGAGUCCUUUUUGUCAGGACCAUCUUGUGAGUCUGAUGUUCUGUGGAACACACUGGGAAAGGCAUGGAGAAGGGUAGAGAUGGAUGAGAGCAGGAGAGUCAGACUUUGAGAGGACCAAAGAAGGAGAAGGGAAAGGAUGGAGCACAGAAAAGAGCACAAGAAAAGGAUGAGAGGGCACCCAGAGUUUCCAACAUGGAAGAUCCAGUGGGCCCAGCCUCUGGGAAGCCUGAGAGAUGCCUCUGACCAAUUCAGGGAUAUUAUUAUUACAUCUGUUGAUGGCCAAUAUUAAUACCAAUGACUGCCCAAGAAGCCACACCUGAGACUUCCGUAUUAACUGGAGAAGGGGCUGUGGCCUGUACAGAGCACCCCAUGGUGUUCUUCCACCUCCUUGUGGUCAGGGUUACCGGGCGCCCAGCCCAGGACGGGUUGAUUGGCAGCCUCUGGUCUAGAAGCUGAUUUUAUUCAUUCGUUCAUUCAUUUUUAAUUUAUCAAUUCAAAAACUUCUCCGUGGUCAUCUGGUUUGUGUGAAUGAGAGUGUGGCUUGACAAUGCAAGCUUGUUAAAAUGUCUUGGGUAAAAUAAACAUUUUACCAAAUGAUUUUAGACCUGAAAUCUUGGAGAAAAUACAGUUUACAACCAAAAGAAACGGACUUCCCUGGUGGCACAGUGGCUAAGGAUCCGCCUGCCAAUGCAGGGGACACAGGUUUGAUCCCUGGUCCACCACAAUUACUGAGUCUGCACUCUAGAGCCCGUGAGCCACAACUACAGAAGCCCACGCACCUAGAGCCUGUGAUAAAUAAAUAAAUAAAACCAGAAGAAACAACAGGAGAAAUCAGUUAUGUGAUUAGGGAUGACAAAGGCAGAGCCCUACAUGGAUCAACCGUUCCUGGCUCUCUGAAGCUGCAGAACAAUCUUGGACACCUCACCCAACCAGUGCACAGUAAGAAAAUCCUGGGGUAGCCCCAAAACACAUUCCGAGAGAGAGACUGGUGUCUGCAGCCCGAGCAGUGCGCAUCAAAUACCGAUCCAGGCUUUCCGGGGACCCUGCGCCCACUUGCACAGGGGUGCCAGCA